UUUUCAAUAGUUCUGUGUAAUAGUUCGUCCCAAUAAUCCGCGAAAAACUAUGACGAAUAAUCCAAUAGUUUUAUUAAUAGCUUUACUAAUAGUUACAAUAGUCCAUUUCCGUAAGGGUUGCUUUCUCUAUUGCGGGUUUCAAAGAAUUAAGAUUAUAGAAUUCAGAUUAAAUAUUGUUUUUAAAUCUAGCAUUAUUUCAAUGUCAAUGCAUAAGUUGAUAAAUAAAUAAGAAAAGAAUGAGAAUAGGAUAGAAGUUUUUAGAGAGUGGGAGAGAGAGAGGGGGGGGGGAGGGAAAGCAGCGCUUGAGCUGUCAGUUGAUCACUGCGAUUGCCUCACGUAAUCGCCCAUAUCAAACAGUAAGUUGCACCAGCCCUGCUUCUCCGCUAUACGCCCCUAAUUAUUGGAUAAUUAUUUCAUUUAUAAUUUACAAACAAAGCUUCGGACAAGUUUUUGCCAAAGGGAAAGUUGAUUCAGAAUAACCUCAGGAAUAUGUCUCUUCAAGGACAUGAGGUUAUUCUGAAUCAUCCUGUAUAUAGUAAAAAAUGACGUUAAUCAUAUACGGUUAAUAAUUGGAAAACUAUUUUAGCUAAAAUUUUGGGUACAUAUUGCAUGUAAAGAUUGCGAACUACUUUAGCACUAUCCGUACAAUACCAUGUGAAAAUAUAUUCCGCUUAGCAUCCCUUGGCAGAGAUCGAAACCCUACAGUUAACGUCAUUCCUGUGAUAUUUUGUGACUUCAACCCCUCUCCGUCGGGUGUAUGCGUGUGUGUGCAAAUAUAUAAUAUAAAUAUAAACGAAUUUGUAUCUUAUUCACAUUUUCAAAAUCUGGUGAUAAUGAUUCUCCAUUAAAGUAACCAUUUAUAUAUUUACUCGUUGAUAAAACGAAACAUGGAAGUUGAUGUUAUUAUUAGGUGUACUUGUGGAUGCAAAAUGAGUCUACGUUUUUGAAUAUUGCUUUCAAUACUUGUAUUUCUUUGAUCUCUUGGUAAAGCUCAAUUUCAAAAGAACAUUUCAAUGCUUGUUUAAUUUCUCGAUAAUUACUUUAAUAAAGAAUCAUUAUCAUUAGAUUUGGAAAGUGCAAACAAGAUGUGAAUUUGGUUAUUUUUAUAUUAUACACGCUCACACACAUACAUACAGCAGAGAAAAGGAAAGAGUUUGAUGUCACAAAAUAUCACAGAAGUGAUGAACUGUGAAGUUCCGAUCUCUGCCAAGGGAUGCUAGAUAGAUUAUAUCUUUACGUAAUGCAUUUUGAAUAGUGCAAAAUAAUCUGCAAUUUUUACAUGUAGUAUGUACCUACAACUUUAGCUAUAAAAUCAUAACUUUUAUUUAUUAACCAUACCGAUUAAUGUCAUUUUUUACAAUAUUUAAGUUUUUUUUGCAACGUUCUUACCACUUCUCGGAUAAAUAACUGUUUUUUCUUAUUAUUUGAGGACCCAAACAAUGAUUUUUUAAGAUUUAUUUAAGAGUGUCUUGAGGGCUAAAAUUGACACAUUUUAACACCUUCCUUUUUGUAUCACAUUAUAUUUUUCAGAAAAUUAAGAUCAAAUGUGACAAAUAACCUGUUAUUUGCACAUUUUUGAAAUAACUUUUUAAAUAAACCUGACGUGUUAAAAGCUUUCAAUAGAAAUUGAAUUAAAGCUUGAACCUUAUAUUUUAAGAUGAUCACAAUGAAAAUAAUGUUGCACCCGCUUAUUUUGAACGGUAAAAGAUUUUCGUUACGCGUGCGCUUGUAACUCUUCACUGCUUGGAGAAUUCUGGAAUUAUAUAACAAACAAGCCAAACUAUAUUUUUUAUCGGAUUAACUUUCUUAAUUUUAAAUUAAAGUAGGUUAAAUUUUAGAAAGUAAAAUCUGAUUUUAAUUUAUUUGUUUAUUUAUUAAAGCUUUUUAACUACAAUUGUAAUAAACUUUAUUUUCUGGAAAGAAAAUAUGACAUUUUCUGUUUAGAAACAGUUAAAAAUUAAUUUAACAAGGGGAAAUCCAAAUCUGAUCCCACAACAAAUGUUGCUAAAUUUUAAAUACGACAUAGUAUUUCCUCUCACCCCUCACACUAUUACACAGUACAAUAACUGUUGCCAAUAUGCGAUAGUUAAUUAACAAUCGUUUAAAGUUUACCGUGCCUAUUAUACCAAGCCGUUAGAGAUCAUUAUCGUACACCCAAGGACUUUGAUUUUGUCCAUGGGGAAAUUUUCCAAAUUGAGAAGUCACCACUUUCUACAUACUCGCAGUUCAUGAUUAAUGAAACGACUAGAGCUUAUUGGUCGUUACGUUAAUCAUGAACUGUAAGUAUGUAGAAAAAUAACGACUUCUCAGUUUAAAAAAUUUCCCCAUGGACAGAAUCAAAGUCCUUGGGUGUACAUUAUACAGUUGAGCGAGUAAGGUACCCGACUACAAUAACAACAAUAACAACUUCAUACAAAUCAAACAUGAAUCUAUUAAUUCAAAUUUUGGGAUACUUCAUAAUUUAAUUGAAAAGCAGGAAAUAGAAAAAUAGAAGCCAAUCAGAACUUGCGCUAGUAGUGGAAAAUCAGAAUGUAUUGUUUCCUAUUAGCAUGAGAUCUGAUUGGCUUCUGCUCUUCUGUUUUAUGCUUUCCUAUAGUAUGAAAUCCCCCUUAUUCGUACUUGGUUUGUUAAUCGACAAUUUUAUACAAGUUAAGCAAUAUAAACCAACAAAUAAAAUUGAAUCAUCAGAAGUUAACCAUACUCUAGGGCCGAAACUAAAAAGGUAAUAUUUACCCAUAAAAAUUUAAUUCAACAUAACUUAUAUAAUUUGUCAAAUAAUUUUGAUAUAUCGUACAUCAUUGUACUCAUUAGAAAAAACACUACAACUUUCAUUAUAUAGAAAUAUUAACUUUAUCAUGUCCGCUGCCAAAAUUGCGUGUCCGCGGAAAUUUUUAAUAUAUUUAACGUUUUUAAUAUAUUUCUUCCUGUCAAACAAUAUUAUUGAUUAUAUUAUUAUAUUUAUAUUAUUGCAAAUCACUCCUAUAUUUUAAGUGCCAUAAUAAAAAUUACAGAUAAUUAUAAAUUUUAACAGCUGUUUUAUGCAAUUUUUGCACAGAUCGAAAAACUGCAUAAAGAGCAUAUUAAUGUAAGUUGUGUAAAAAAACUAAAAAUAUCUUUUAUAUUUGUUAUAUUUUUUUCCAAUACCAGUCAUGUUUUUACAAGAAUAAAAAAAUUAAAAAUUUACGAUUAACUAGUUUUUAGUUUUGUCCUUGCUGUCAUUCUUUGAAAUUUGAGUAUUUCAACUCCGGCAAACAUUAAUUUGAGGUUAGAACAAUAUUCUACAGCUUUGUUUAAGUCCACUUUGACCACGACUUGGCAAAGAUCGUCUUAUUCGGUUGUAUAUACGUCAUAUAAGACGUCUUAUUACGACUAUGAAUUUAUGACUAAUAAGAUAGUCUUAAGUCUGUUCUUAUUUCGAAUAAGAGCUGUCUAUGAAUCAUGUCGAGACCAAACAAGACAUUUCCAAACAAGAUUGUCUUGGACAAGUCUUGACUUGAGAUAUUACUCAAGCAUUUGCUUGAUUUCUAACUAUGAAUCUAGAGGGCAACUUAAGACCGUACUUAAGACAAUCUUGAAAAUAAGUAACGAUUAUGAAUACAGGCCUAUGAGGUAUUUUUGAUUAACUCAAGGUGUCUAAAGUUGUAAAUUGAUGUGUUCGAUAAUAUAUUUCGGACUCUACGCAAAAGUCUUCUCUUUCACGGCACUAUAGUAUUUUAACUUUAGACAGAGUAACUU